UAACAAAAUAACUGUACUUGCCUCGCCCC
rnacentral:piRNA from 1 species